ACAACAAAAGGAGUCGCAAUAUGCCAAAAUAAACCCGUUUUUACUCCCCGCUGGAUUGAAAAUUUCAAAGAAUAAAAAUAUACAAUCCCGCUUUUUAGUUUUCACAUACCCUCGAAAUCAUCAUCAACCUCCCUCUACCCCCAACCGACUCGCCCUCACUCUAGAUAUUCUUCAGCAAAAUCCCAAAUUAUACUCAAAAUAAUCCCAGAUUAUUAUCAGCAAAACGAUCUCCUCAACUCAAUUCUCUCUCAUCCCUUUCAAGUUAAAUGGGAAAUCUGGAAAAUCACACUUCCACCGCUAAUUUCAUCUUUAAUUACAAGCAUCUUUGGAUUUCAUGAUUUGAUUUUGUAAUUUCAAUAUUGAAGAUUCAUUCGAACCCAAUCGCAACACCGUCAACAGAUCCAUCGCCGCUAAUUUCACUGAUGAGAGAAGGCAGACUGCAAGGGGUUGGUCAAUGCCUAAUCCGCGAGUUUAGGAUGGUUUGCCAUGUUCUGCAAGGAGAUGUCAGCAAAGAUUUCUUCGAGGGUUGCCGAGCAAUCUUUGUUGACAAAGACAAAAAUCCUAAGAUGUUGCAGGUUACUGGUUUAUUGGAAUCCUUUGCAGUUGGAUCUGAUUAGUGGUCUUGGCUUUGUUGGUCCAUUCGGUCAUUUCUGGUCAAAUCUUGGAUAUAAAUCUUAUGAGUGCAUUCCUAGAAUCCUCUAGUUCGGAUUUUAUAUACGGUGUGAACUUUUUUGUGUCUGGUGCUUUGACUGAAGUUAGUGGAAGCAUCCCCUUCUCAUUGUCCACUUGCAGAAUCGAACAAGAGAGCUCGGGGAAUAAGAUAUUGAAUAUUGAGAAAUAUGAAAGCUCCCACCAGAAGAUGAAAAGUCAUCUUAAUCUAUUGGUUGAGGAAAAGGAAGAAAAGGAAGAGCUAGCGACGCUCACAAAAACCCUGUUAGAAUUAGAGGAAGAAAAGGCAGUGUGGUCAGCAAAGUAAAAAACUUCAAUUGAAGUCAUCAAAGAAAAAGAAAAUGUAUACAAUGGUGAGAUCAUUUCAUUUAUCAAGUGAUCUUUCACAAUGGUGAGAUCAUUUCAUCAUCAAGUGAUCUUUCAAAGUUAAAUUACAUAUUAUAAGUUUUUGCUCUGAACCUUGCAUAAUCUGCAUCUUAAUAAACUCCCCCAUCCCGGUUCAAUCAAGCUUUUGAACUCGUGUAGCUGAUAUUAUCUUGUAGUGAGCUUAUUUUUCAAUUAUCUGGAGGUUUAGUAUAUUUUAAGGGUGGGGACGGGUAGGUGUGGUGAGGUUGAGGGAAAGUGUUUAAAUAAUUCAAUUGAAAAAUGAAUUAAUUAUUCCCUUUCUCUGACCAAUUGGCUACUUACUGCGUACAGUGCUAAUUUUUUGUUGCACGUUCUAAAAAGUGGAGCCAGGAGGCUAAUGAUGAAAGAGAGAUAAAAAAGUUUACAUAGUCAGAAGGCUCUUCUUGGGUCUGAUUACUGCAAAUGAGACUCCCUUUCUGGUAAAAGACAUGACUGAUGUGCUGAUCGUCCCAGUUGAAACAAGAAAGAUAACAGGUGAAGAAAGUGUUAUGCACCAGACACUGUAGUAACUGUUAGCUAUAUGGAGUAUUCAGACUUGGAUCACAAUAAGUGGAGUAGUUCAGUAGCUAGGGUCAUCUCUUUUGUACGCAUAUUGUGUACCAUAAAGAACACUGUCGUGAAUCCUAAUUUUUUUUCAAGUUUGUCAGGAAGUACUGUACUAGAAUGGUUCAGCAUGUUCCCAUUGAAAUCAUUUUGUCCCUAGAGCCAAUUUCGAUAUCCAUUCAAGUUUCUCACUAUACUAUGCUUUCUGCUGUAUAGAUUCUUGCUUUCGAAAUCAUUGGUCCUUUUUUGUUGUUAAAUUUUUUAUUUUGUUCAGUAGGAGUUUUCAUUGUACAAGGCAUUCCUAAGUCCUAAAAUUCGAGUUUGGCUUGAGGAAUCUUUGUCUCAUUUUCUCAUAUGUCUGAUUUUUUAAUGAAAGUAUUUCCCAAAAGAAAAUAGUGUUAUAAUGCUUUUUACAUUACAUAUAUAUGACAUAUUUUUUUGAUGUGUAGAUUAAUGACGAUCCAGGUGGCAAAGGUAACAAUUAGAUCAAGAUAUUGAAGCUCCGAUCUCAAUCUCGGGGAUUCAGGAAUAAAUGCCAUUUUAGUUGGAUAGUCCUAAGAAGUUACUUUUAUUUCUAGUGUGAUUUGUUUAGGCAAAAAUUUAAUGUAUGGAUAUAUAAUAUAAGAUCCUAUUGUUAUUUUGGUCUAUUCUUAACUAGUUUGAUUAUUAGUGCAAAUAUGCACAUAGAUGUUUUUUAAUUAAAAUUAAGUACGUUUUCAAAUUAUAUUUUUAUUUUAAUUUAUAGCUAAAUAUAUAUAGAUCAACUUGUAAUUUUAAUAGAUUGCAGGUAAAAGUGAUUAUAAUUAGAUA